rnacentral:rRNA from 1 species
CUUGCUAUAAUUGUCAGCUAAGUGGCGCACGGGUGAGUAAUGUAUAGAUAACCUGCCCUUAAGAAAGGAAUAACAGUUGGAAACGACUGCUAAUGCCCUAUAUGCCUUUAAUACAUAAGUAUGCAAGGGAAACGCUUUAGUGCUUAAGGAUGGGUCUGUAUGGUAUCAGCUUGUUGGUGAGGUAAUGGCUCACCAAGGCUAUGACGCCUAACUGGUUUGAGAGGAUGAUCAGUCACACUGGAACUGAGACACGGUCCAGACUCCUACGGGAGGCAGCAGUGGGGAAUAUUGCACAAUGGACGAAAGUCUGAUGCAGCAACGCCGCGUGGAGGAUGACACAUUUCGGUGCGUAAACUCCUUUUAUAUAGGAAGAUAAUGACGGUACUAUAUGAAUAAGCACCGGCUAACUCCGUGCCAGCAGCCGCGGUAAUACGGAGGGUGCAAGCGUUACUCGGAAUCACUGGGCGUAAAGAGCGUGUAGGCGGGUAUAUAAGUCAGAAGUGAAAUCCAAUAGCUCAACUAUUGAACUGCUUUUGAAACUGUAUACCUAGAAUGUGGGAGAGGUAGAUGGAAUUUCUGGUGUAGGGGUAAAAUCCGUAGAGAUCAGAAGGAAUACCGAUUGCGAAGGCGAUCUACUGGAACAUUAUUGACGCUGAGACGCGAAAGCGUGGGGAGCAAACAGGAUUAGAUACCCUGGUAGUCCACGCCCUAAACGAUGUACACUAGUUGUUGUGAGGCUCGACCUUGCAGUAAUGCAGUUAACACAUUAAGUGUACCGCCUGGGGAGUACGGUCGCAAGAU